rnacentral:rRNA from 1 species
UACGGAGGAUGCAAGCGUUAUCCGGAUUUAUUGGGCGUAAAGCGUCCGCAGGUGGUUGUUCAAGUCUGCUGUUAAAGCGCGAGGCUUAACCUUGUACAGGCAGUGGAAACUGAGCGACUAGAGUAUGGUAGGGGUAGCGGGAAUUCCCAGUGUAGCGGUGAAAUGCGUAGAUAUUGGGAGGAACACCAGUGGCGAAGGCGGCUCACUGGACCGGUACUGACGCUGAUGCGCGAAAGCGUGGGGAGCAAACGGG